rnacentral:rRNA from 1 species
AUUGAACGCUGGCGGCAGGCCUAACACAUGCAAGUCGAGCGGUUGACGGGAGCUUGCUCCCUGAUUCAGCGGCGGACGGGUGAGUAAUGCCUAGGAAUCUGCCCAUUAGUGGGGGACAACGUUUCGAAAGGAACGCUAAUACCGCAUACGUCCUACGGGAGAAAGCAGGGGACCUUCGGGCCUUGCGCUAAUAGAUGAGCCUAGGUCGGAUUAGCUUGUUGGUGAGGUAAUGGCUCACCAAGGCGACGAUCCGUAACUGGUCUGAGAGGAUGAUCAGUCACACUGGAACUGAGAAACGGUCCAGACUCAUACGGGGGGCAGCAGUGGGGAAUAUUGGACAAUGGGCGAAAGCCUGAUCCAGCCAUGCCGCGUGUGUGAAGAAGGUCUUCGGAUUGUAAAGCACUUUAAGUUGGGAGGAAGGGUUGUAGAUUAAUACUCUGCAAUUUUGACGUUACCGACAGAAUAAGCACCGGCUAACUCUGUGCCAGCCGCCGCCGUAACAC